ACUGUCUCUAAAACGCAAUGAACUGAGCUCUGUCAUGGUUGAAGUAGCAAGAAACCACUCUGUAAAGUGUCCUUGUCUGACCAUGGAAACACCUGGUUGCAUCUUAAAAAGUAGUGACAGUCUUCCGGAAAGCUCCACGCAGCUGCAGACUCCUUGUGGCGACUGACGGCGUGAACAACAAACCCACACAGCUGCUUCUCCAACACCUCCACCACGGCCGGGGCGUUCCCCUUCUUCCCCUGGCCCUCCAUCGCCUGCUGGAUGCAGCCCUGAGGCACCGGCUGUGGUUUGGUGCUGUACGACACCACCAGGUUGAUGUUGUUCACCUGCAGCACCUCGAACCAGUUCUUCCCCGCCACGUGGUGGAAAUGCUCCCCUGCUCUCCAGUUCCGGUAGGUGCUUCCUGAGUGGUUGAUGAGCCGCACCGACCAGCUAACCCAAUCAUACUUCUUCACCAAGAACUCCAGAAGCUGCUGAGUUGUAUCUUGCAGAUUAUCGCCUUCCUUUUCUUGCAGGAGGUGUUUGGCAUCUAGUUUUGCUUGCUCUGGGAAAGCAGCGAUGCACGACUCGAUGGUGGUCUUCAUCCUGGACUCUACUUCUUCAAUUUUGCUGCUCCACUCUUGGAUUUUGUCAUCUUCUUCAUCUUGGCGCUGGGUUAAGGCACAGUGGCCCAGCAGAGCAAUCAGGCCCAGACAGAAGAGCUCCUUCAUCCGGACACAGAAAUCUUCCAGGAGACGACGGUUCCUCGCUACAUACCUGGAAAACAAAAGAACUAUGUAUGUCAUAUAGUGCUCCAACCAGAGAAACCUGCAGUGUUGUUGACAAAGACAUAGGAGAACCAAAGAACUGCAAUUAAUGAAAAACAGGAUCAAAUAUAACAACGUACCUUUCCACUAACUCUAAAACGGACUCUCCAAAGCUGUUUGUCCCCAUCAGAGCAUCAUACAGCACAAACAGGUUCUUCUCUCCUCCGGUUUUGGCAAAGUGCUCCACAAACAGUCUGGUCUUCACCUCCCUGAACUGCGGUUUUGCCUCCAAGAUGUCCAUAUACUUCCGAAACUGGUUCCUAAUGUUCUCCUCCACAGAGAAGUACUGGGAAUCCAGUCUCCCCUUCUUGAUCUCGCAGUCGAUGUCUUCCAGUUGUGUGGAGAGCACGUCAAGCUUGUUCCUCACCGCCAGGAACUGCUCCUUGACGUAGAAGACCUCUUUGCUGAGGACAUUGUCUAAGGCCAGGCGGAGGACGGGAGCGGCGGCCUCACAGAGCGGGAAGAGCUCGCCCACAGCGCUGGCCAACACCUCGGACCCCUUCUCAAACAUGUCCAUCACCGCCUCGAUGGCCUCCUUUUUCUGGGCUACAGCCCUCUCAAGUGGACUGCUCAUGGUCUGAGACACAGAAGGAACAACAUCUGGUGUCAAACAUAGAAGAAGGAUGUGAUAACAUUUGAGUCUUGUUCUGUUUAUUCAUGAAUAAAAGACAGUUUUUUUUGCGAGCA